rnacentral:misc_RNA from 1 species
GAGAAUGCGAUAUGCAGUGUGAAUUGCAGAACUAUGAAUCAUCGGAUUUUUGAACGCAACUGGCGCCGAUAAAAUCGGCAUACUUGUUUCAGUGUGCGCAAACAACUCAACAACUUAAUGUGAGAGAAUAUUCUCUCAUGAAAUAAAUGCUCAAAGCAGCAGUCACAAUUAUUUGUGAGCUGUCUAAGAGGAAAUAUAUGUCUUAUUUGCACCUGAAAUCAAGUAAGAUGACCCGCUGGACUUAA